rnacentral:misc_RNA from 1 species
UAUUCAAGUUCUAGCCAACCAAAUUAUAAAAUAUUCAAUGAUGAAAAAUCUUGAAUGUUCUUCAUGCUCGUACUCUAAAAUCCUGAAACAGAAUGAAUAAAUAAAGAAGAAAAGCCUAUGCUAGAGACACUGCAACGGGGCUUCUCACAUAAUGAUAACUAUCAGUCCAAGUGUACCAGCCAAAGGCAAAGUCAUCCUUAUAAUACUUCUUUGCAGUAUGAGCAUCUCUUGCUCUAACUGUUAAAGUGAAGCUUAUCUUUUGCCCAACUUUAUCGAAGUACAAAAUACUUGGCGAGGCUUUAAUGGAAAUUCCCUUAGGUGGUUUGGCAGUGAAGAAGUAGACACUUUUGGCAGCACCAACAUUCGUCACAUUCCUCUUAACUAUUACAGUGCCAUUCAGUUUAGGAAUUGAAACAGAUGGAUAGUUCAAAUUGUAUGUUGGCUCCAAUGUUGCUUUUUUUGGGCAAUGAUAAUCGCCCACUUUUGAAUAUCCAUAGUUGCAAAGGUAGGCAAUGUAGUCGUCAUAGGAUGCAUCAUACACUAGACCAGGGUCUGCUGCCUUGGCUGGUCGGAAGUGACCAGAACCGAAUUGGAAAGGAUCUGCAAUUUUACCUGAUGGAUCGAUUAUAGACUGACCCUUGUUAUUUUUCAUCCAGGCUGUGGUCAUUAUGGCAGAUCUUAUGGCUGCACUGCUCCAUUUAGGAUAUAUGGCUCUAAGAAGUGCAGCUACAGCAGAAACAUGGGGACAAGCCAUAGAAGUUCCUGACUCAAUGACAUAAUCCGCGAUUCUAUGAUCAGCCCACAAUUUUGUAGGCGAAGAUCCUCGACUCCAUGCUGCCAAGAUAUUUAACCCUGGCGCUGUGAUGUCAGGCUUGAGAAUAUUAAGAUCAAGGACAUUUGGACCCCUACUAGUGAAUGCAGCCAUGGAAGGUGCGGGUGAAUAAUUUAACACAGUCUUUGCCUUUGCAAUGAUAGCCGUUGGCUUAUUGGCAGACUUAAUGUAGUUAAUAAUUUCAAUUGCAUCGUUAGCAUCCACAGCAGUUGCUGGAAGAACAUGAGCAUCCACUGAUAUGUCAUUGCCAUUUUGUGGACUAUUUCCUAAGACAAAACCAGCACCACCAGCUCUUUUCACCUCUAUGCCUUUUCCAACUCUCAUUCCAAGCCCUCUCAUGCACAACACUAUCUUCCCCUUUACCUUCUCAGGAGAAAGAGAAUUAGGGAGGCAUUGGUUUGAUUCAUUCUUGGGAAUUCCUGGAGCCGCCACAUCUGCUGCAUACACUAAUGGGUGCAUUUUGUCUAGCUUGUAUGGAGUAGCAGUUUGCCCGACAAUCUUCUUGCCAUUUCCAAGCACAAUAGGCCCCAAAAACGCACGAUCCAGGCUACUAGCACCAACAGUAAUAAUCCAAGGAGCAGGGUUGGACAAGGUACCCGGAGCAGGACCUAAGUUACCAGCAGAACAAGAAACUACAAUGUUGUUUUUGACAGCAUGUAAAGCACCAAUGGCAAUGCCAUCUUCCGCGUACGGUAUUGGCUCGGUGGUACCAAUGGACAUGCUUAAUACAUGGACUCCAUCCUUCACGGCGUCGUCUAUGGCUGCAAGCAUAUCUUCUUCGAAACAUGUGUUGCCUUCUGCUUUUUCUUGAUUAGGAAUCGCCCAACAGGCCUUGUAUAUGGCCAGGUGUGCUGAUGGUGCCCCGCCCGAGGCUGUUCCGCUGGCGAAACCACCGUAGGCAGCGACGUCAUGCACCUGCCUUCCGGCAACUGUGGACGCCGUGUGAGUUCCGUGGCCGUCCAAGUCACGCGGUGACAUGAUGUCCUCGGUGGCAUUGAGUUUUUUGUAGUAGUUUAAGUAACCCUCAAUGUAGUAUCUAGCUCCGAUAAUUUUCUUGUUACAGUGGGAUGAGUUAAAAUCAACCCCACUUUGGCAGAUUCCCUUCCAUGAUUUUGGAAUGGGUCCCAUGCCUUCAUCACUGAAACUCUUGGAUUCUGGCCACACACCACUAUCCAUGACCCCCACAAUCACAUUUUUGCCAAAUCCAGCCUUCAAUGGUAAUUCUCUUUCCCCAGCGGAGCGAUGUUUCGAGGAGUGUCCGUCUCCCUCUUCCAAGCCUACAAAUUCCCAUGACCUUGUAGUUUGCGUUGAGUACUUCCCUGGCUUGGUUUCAUACACAGUAACCACUUCUUCCAACUCAGACAGUUUGGAGGCUUCUUCUGGGGUUAGCAAUGCAGCGAAACCAUUGAUGCUGUGCUUGUAGCUGUAAAUAAGAGAAUCUAUAGCUUCUUCCUCAGUUUCUUUCACUGAGUUCAAAUAUGAGAGAUGAGUUUCUUCUAUUUCAGCAUGUGUUUUCUCUCCACUAUGCUCUCCAAAGUAUACUAUGUAGCUCUGUCAUUAAAAUUAAAAACACAAUAUCAACGUAAGUCUGUGAUUAAAACAUUAUAAGAGAUAGAAAACAAAAACAACCAAACCAAACCAAACCUUACCUUUUUCUUUGUGCAUGAGGCUAAAAGAGGUAGAAGGAGAAGAAAGAAAAUACAAAAUCUUUUCAUGGUUGCUGAUGGUGAUUGCACAAUGGCAAUCUUCAAGAGAUUUUGGGCAUUUAUAUGAUCAGUUAAUAGGAUCUUAUUUCAAAUUGAAAAGGUCUAUCUUCAAAUGAACGUGGCCCAUAUUUUCUAGAGUAGUAUAAGGAAAAUAUUAAGUGUUUGUUUUAUAGGAAAAAAGUCUAUUCAAAACUAUAAAAAGAAUUUUAUUUGUAAUCAAUCACUG